rnacentral:lncRNA from 1 species
CAGAUUUUGGUGAGGCUCUGUUUGUUUUUUAGGUUGACACACCUUAGGAGUAUGUUUUCUACUUAUUUUCACCUGGGCAAAACCUAUUUGGUGCUGUUUUAAGCCACAACGUUUCAAGAAAGUGUGUUCCAAAGCACUAAGGCAUCAUUAAGUAUCACAUAUUUACUAAGAAAAAAGUACAACAUAGCUCUUCAUGCAACCAAACCUGAGUUAAAAUCCCUCUGCUCUCACAUUUUUGGAGUAAGACAAUACGGAAUCNNNNNNNNNNUUAAGCCUAGGCAUCAUUAAGUAUCACAUAUUUACUAAGAUAGAAAAAGUAUACAUGGUUUUCAGCAACCAACCGGAUUCAAAUCCCUAUGCUCUCACAUUUUGGAUGUAAGACAAUACGUUAAAGCCAUAUUUCCCACUUCUGAAAAGGGGGAUAAUUAUAAAUACCAAAUGUAUCAGGGUUUGAUAAGGAGUAAAUGAGGUCAUCCAUGCAAAGUGCUGAACAUAGCACCUGCCUUAGGAUAAGUAGGCACCACAUAAGAGCUAGUGUUCAUAUUCUUUAUCGAGGCAACUGGAGAUAAAGACCCACCUCAGAGAAAAACACCAUUAAUUCAGGAAAUGAGAUGUAUAUAUGAAACCAUUAAUAAACGAUAUAAGGAAAUAUGAUGAUAAUAGUGAUGAUAAUAUGUUAUAUGUGUGUCUUGAGGAAGGGAAAAUA